rnacentral:tRNA from 1 species
GGUAAAAUGGUUGAGGUAAGAAUUGAACUGUAAAUUCAAAGAAAGAGAAUAAUAAUCUCUUUUUACCA